UACGUAGGUAGCAAGCGUUGUUCGGAGUUACUGGGCGUAAAGGGUGUGUAGGCGGUUGUUUAAGUUUGGUGUGAAAUCUCCCGGCUCAACUGGGAGGGUGCGCCGAAUACUGAAUGACUAGAGUGCGGGAGAGGAAAGUGGAAUUCCUGGUGUAGCGGUGAAAUGCGUAGAUAUCAGGAGGAACACCGGUGGUGUAGACGGCUUUCUGGACCGUAACUGACGCUGAGACACGAAAGCGUGGGUAGCAAACAGG
rnacentral:rRNA from 1 species